rnacentral:rRNA from 1 species
CGUGGGAACAUACCUUUUGGUUCGGAACAACCCAGGGAAACUUGGGCUAAUACCGGAUAAGCCCUUACGGGGAAAGAUUUAUCGCCGAAAGAUUGGCCCGCGUCUGAUUAGCUAGUUGGUGAGGUAAUGGCUCACCAAGGCGACGAUCAGUAGCUGGUCUGAGAGGAUGAUCAGCCACAUUGGGACUGAGACACGGCCCAAACUCCUACGGGAGGCAGCAGUGGGGAAUAUUGGACAAUGGGCGCAAGCCUGAUCCAGCCAUGCCGCGUGAGUGAUGAAGGCCCUAGGGUUGUAAAGCUCUUUUGUGCGGGAAGAUAAUGACGGUACCGCAAGAAUAAGCCCCGGCUAACUUCGUGCCAGCAGCCGCGGUAAUACGAAGGGGGCUAGCGUUGCUCGGAAUCACUGGGCGUAAAGGGUGCGUAGGCGGGUCUUUAAGUCAGGGGUGAAAUCCUGGAGCUCAACUCCAGAACUGCCUUUGAUACUGAAGAUCUUGAGUUCGGGAGAGGUGAGUGGAACUGCGAGUGUAGAGGUGAAAUUCGUAGAUAUUCGCAAGAACACCAGUGGCGAAGGCGGCUCACUGGCCCG